rnacentral:rRNA from 1 species
GCCCGUACCCUAAACCGACUCAGGUGGUCAGGUAGAGUAUACCGAGGCGUUCGAGUGAAUCGUGGUUAAGGAACUCGGCAAAAUUCCUCCGUAACUUCGGGAUAAGGAGGACCCCGUGACUUGCGCUCACCUCGCGUGGGUGUGGGGUUGUGGGGUCGCAGAGAAUAGGGAGAAGCGACUGUUUAUCAAAAACACAGGUGCGUGCGAAGUCGUAAGACGAUGUAUACGCACUGACGCCUGCCCGGUGCUGGAAGGUUAAGAGGAAGGGUCAACGCGCCUUGGCGUGUGAAGCCUUGAAUUUAAGCCCCAGUAAACGGCGGUGGUAACUAUAACCAUCCUAAGGUAGCGAAAUUCCUUGUCGGGUAAGUUCCGACCUGCACGAAUGGCGUAACGACUUCUCCGCUGUCUCGACCGUGAACUCGGCGAAAUUGCAGUACGAGUAAAGAUGCUCGUUUCGCGCAGAAGGACGGAAAGACCCCGGGACCUUUACUAUAGCUUGGUAUUGGUGUUCGCUUGUGCUUGUGUAGGAUAGGUGGGAGACUAAGAAGCGGGGGCGCCAGCCUUCGUGGAGUCGUCGUUGAAAUACCAUUCUGGUUCAAGCGGUCAUCUAACCUUGGCCCGUAAUCCGGGUUGGGGACAGUGCCUGGUGGGUAGUUUAACUGGGGCGGUUGCCUCCUAAAAAGUAACGGAGGCGCUCAAAGGUUCCCUCAGCCUGGUUGGUAAUCAGGUGGCGAGUGCAAGUGUACAAGGGAGCUUGACUGUGAGACCGACGGGUCGAGCAGGUGCGAAAGCAGGAACUAGUGAUCCGGCCAUGGCACGUGGGUGCGUGGUCGCUCAACGGAUAAAAGGUACCCCGGGGAUAACAGGCUGAUCUUGCCCAAGAGUCCAUAUCGACGGCAUGGUUUGGCACCUCGAUGUCGGCUCGUCGCAUCCUGGGGCUGGAGUUGGUCCCAAGGGUUGGGCUGUUCGCCCAUUAAAGCGGUACGCGAGCUGGGUUCAGCUGUGCGCGCAGGAAACUUGAGAAGAGCCGUCCCUAGUACGAGAGGACCGGGAUGGACGAACCUCUGGUGUGCCAGUUGUACCGCCAGGUGCAUGGCUGGUUGGCUACGUUCGGAA